rnacentral:lncRNA from 1 species
AGAAAUAGGACAGCAGCCAUUCCAGGUAGCAGGGGAAUGGCCCUUCCUCACUUUCUGACGAUUUUUUUUUACGCUCUUCUGUCUUUGGGGAAAGCGGCAGGCUAAGGAAAACCGGGAAGCCACGCAGACCUCUGCCUGUGACACAGCACGUGGGCUGGCCUCUGGCAACUGACAGAGGGAACAUUGCUGCUGAUGCGAAGAAAAGUCAUCAGAGAUUCUAAAAAAUAACGGUAAAUAUAACUAUGGCGGAUAAGCAAGGAGGGACAGGAGGUGACCAAGGCCACAGUGGGGAGAGACCUAGCAGAGAGAGCACCCACCUCAAUCAGGCCACAGCCGGGACGGAGGUUCUGAGCCACGUCUCCUGAGUUCAUUUACUCGGUGGAAGUCAAUCUUAAUUGUCAAUUCGAUGAGAUUUUUAAUCGCCAUGGAAACAGACCUCUGAGCAUGUCACGGAGACAGUUUCUAUAUCAGGUUAAUCGAGGUACAUCUGAGGUACAACAGUCUACCUCAUAGUGGCCUCUGACAGUCCAAAGCACGAGCGGUCAUUGCCAGGGCAGCUCCAUUGUCUGCCAGAGCCCUCUCUGCUCUGCUUAUAGCUGUCUCAUGCCAGCCGAGUCGCUUCAGCAUGCAGGUGCCUGCCUCUGCUCACCCCCUGUCAGUUCCCAGUUGGACAUCUAUAAUGGCAAGAUGACUGACUCAAGCCUACUUCACAGCCGCUGGCCCGACUGCUCAUCCUCGCAGACCACAGAAGCCUGAAGCCCCAGGGAACUAACUACACAUUUUGUGGGGUGAAGUGGUUCUUUCCCAUUCCUGAUGCAAAGCCUGAUCACACCCCAUAGCGCUCCUGAGAAACCCUGCCGCCUGGGCCACAGUGGGGACUUGCAAGCCUCUACACAGAUCUUAUUUGCUGGGCUCAAAGUCUCCAGAAGUACACGCCACCUCUCUAACCUUCUAUAAAACUAUCCUCAUCUUGUGGUCCUGGCGACGUUUUCAACCUUUCUAAAGAAGGCUCCAUCUCCCUUUGCGUUACCAGGCCCAUUAUAGUUCCAGAACGAAAUAAACAGGAAGUGGAUGCAGUCCGAUGGAAGAUCAA